GACAGAGGAUGCAAGCGUUAUCCGGAAUGAUUGGGCGUAAAGCGUCUGUAGGUGGCUUUUUAAGUCUGCCGUCAAAUCCCAGGGCUUAACCCUGGACAGGCGGUGGAAACUACCAAGCUGGAGUACGGUAGGGGCAGAGGGAAUUUCCGGUGGAGCGGUGAAAUGCGUAGAGAUCGGAAAGAACACCAACGGCGAAAGCAGGUAACUGGACCAUUACUGACACUCAGCUGCGAAAGCUAGGGGAGCAAACAGG
rnacentral:rRNA from 1 species